rnacentral:rRNA from 1 species
GAUGAACGCUGGCGGCGUGCCUAAUACAUGCAAGUCGAGCGAACAGACGAGGAGCUUGUUCCUCUGACGUUAGCGGCGGACGGGUGAGUAACACGUGGAUAACCUACCUAUAAUACUGGGAUAACUUCGGGAAACCGGAGCUAAUACCGGAUAAUAUAUUGAACCGCAUGGUUCAAUAGUGAAAUACGGUUUUUCUGUCACUUAUAGAUGGAUCCGCGCCGCAUUAGCUAGUUGGUAAGUUAACGGCUUUCCAAGGCGACGAGGGGUAGCCGACCUGAUAGGCUGGUAGGCGACCAGAGAAGUGGACCGCGGUCAAGGGUACUGAGGGAGGGCGCAGAAGGCAAUGUUCGGCAGUAGGCGGAAGCAUGGCGGAGUAGGGCGGCGCCAGGGAUGGAGGUAUUCGGAUCGUAAAACUCGGUUAUUAGGGGAAAACAAAUGUGUACGUAACUAAACCGGUCUUGACGGUACCUAAUAAAAAAGCCACGGCUAACUACGUG